GUUGCUACCAAAAGGGUUAAACUUUGUCUUUCAUCCUUUAUCGCUUGAAAUAAGUACCACUGUAGUAUUGGGGAGCAAUGUAAUCCACUUGACUUCAAAAUCAUCUGAAGACUAUUGUCUUCGUUAGAAGCUAUUAAUUAGUGCACCAGAAGGUAGCAAGCUUGCAGAAUCAUUAGCACAUCUUUAUGUUUUGAGUUCAUAUUCUGCUGAGGUUGACUUUGCCUUUUAUCCUUUUGUGGUUGACUACCAGUUAAGCUCUGGGGUUGAUGUAAUCGACUUAAUCCUUGCCUGCCCACCCCUGGUGAAGAAGCAGAAGCUGAAAAAGCAUCAGAUAUGAUGCCACAGAUUUACUGAGACAUGUCCCCUUUAUGUUCCGAGUUCAAAUCCUGCCAAAGUCGACUUUGCCUUUCAUCCUUACAGGUGUUGAUAAACUAAAGCACCAGUUAAAUUACUGGGGUCAGUUUAAAUGACCAACGUACUCCUCCCAACAUACUGACCUUGACCCUCUGU